UUCAGAGUCAGGAAACAUAAACUCUCCCUUCCUCUCUCCCGCCACAACCACUUUCAUUUCCCUAGCUACCAUCAUCAAAUUAACUCUAAAUUAACAUGCAAUUUCAGAAAUGGAAUCUCCAUCAAAGCAAGAAAGCUACACUUCUUUCUUCUCUCCCCUCUUGGCCGAAAAUGCAUCUUCCAUGGUCAAGUCUUGUUUUUUUCUUCUCAAAUUGAAGUUUGGGAGUACGAAUUGAAAGAGAAAUUGGGACCUCCAGAUGUCAUAAAUCAAGGAUUAAGCCUUUGGGUGCAUAGAAAAUAAGGUAUGGUUAGUGAUUCAUACUUUUCUUUCCAAUUUGAUAUUAAACCCUAACACCCAAUCCUCAUCUAUUCCUUAUUUGAUGCUGCGUGUGUGUUUAUACUCGUGUGGAGAACGUGAAACGUUGUAAGAAACAUGGAUUUCAAUAGUCAAGAGACCAUGGGUUUGAUUAUUCCAAGUUUUGGAGGAGAUUGAGUGAUUUUUCGUAUUCAAGGACAGACCUGCAAUAAAAAGGUGAUUCCUCCCUCUCUGUAAAUCUGUUUCGUAUGGGGUUUGUUUCUACGGUUAGCUAACGAAAGUCCGGUCGUUUCAACGCAAAUUUCAUAAAUUUUGGAGCAGUAUUGAGUUCAGGAGACGCAUCUUAAGUUCGGGGUCUGAUGCAGAAUUUUGGGCUACGGGUUUGAAGUGUUGUGUGUUGUGGCUGCAAUUUCUGUUUUUCAGCAAACUCCGGAUAUGCCAAUGGUACUGUUAAAGUGUCAAAUUCAGGUAAACAGGUUAAUCAGAGCAAGGACCAGACAGGAACUGAUGAUCGAAGCUGAGCUUGGAUUAUUGGAUUAUAAGACCUUCGUCUUCUUUGUUUUUGUUAAUCUGUUAUUUAGAUUUCAGUUAUCAUUUCAGCUGUUUUGUAUUGAUUAUCACAUUAUUCUCGUGAUAAUUUGCAAAACAAUUAAUUAUUCUGUAAUUUUAAUGUACUCAGGUUUCAAUUAUUAA